rnacentral:rRNA from 1 species
CCUACGGGGGGCUGCAGUGAGGAAUAUUGGUCAAUGGGCGCUAGCCUGAACCAGCCAAGUAGCGUGAAGGAUGACUGCCCUACGGGUUGUAAACUUCUUUUAUAAAGGAAUAAAGUGAGGCACGUGUGCCUUUUUGUAUGUACUUUAUGAAUAAGGAUCGGCUAACUCCGUGCCAGCAGCCGCGGUAAUACGGAGGAUCCGAGCGUUAUCCGGAUUUAUUGGGUUUAAAGGGAUCGUAGAAGGGUUGUUAAGUCAGUUGUGAAAGUUUGCGGCUCAACCGUAAAAUUGCAGUUGAUACUGGCAGUCUUGAGUACAGUAGAGGUAGGCGGAAUUCGUGGUGUAGCGGUGAAAUGCUUAGAUAUCACGAAGAACUCCGAUUGCGAAGGCAGCUUGCUAAACUGCAACUGACGUUGAUGCUCGAAAGUGUGGGUAUCAAACAGGAUUAGAUACCCCAGUAGUC